rnacentral:lncRNA from 1 species
CGGGUGGCGGGUGACAGGUCGCGGGCAGGCACGUGCCGGGCCCUUGCGGUCGGUCGGCGGAGGGGAUCAAGGCAGGGCUCGGUGUCCGCGGUCGGAGUGGGGUCUGGCGUCCCGUUGACCGUCGCCGUCGUCCUCGUUAGUAUAGUGGGUCUCAAGCGCCCGAGCCCGUCGUGUCCGGUCUUGGCCUCUGGCUGCACGCCUGUGCGCCCCGGUGGGAGAAGGAGGAGGUGGCGGUGUUUGGAAGGUGGACUGCGAUCGGGACCAGAGCUGCUGGGGCAGGUGGGUUGCCGGUUGCCGCGGGGGCAGCGCUGGCGUCGCGGGGGCUGGCGGUGCGUGUUUGUUUUAAACCCAAGCAGGGAAC